rnacentral:rRNA from 1 species
GGUUCGAUCCUGGCUCAGAUUGAACGCUGGCGGGAUGCUUUACACAUGCAAGUCGAACGGCAGCAUGGACUUCGGUCUGGUGGCGAGUGGCGAACGGGUGAGUAAUGUAUCGGAACGUGCCUAGUAGCGGGGAUAACUACGCGAAAGCGUAGCUAAUACCGCAUACGCCCUUCGGGGGAAAGCGGGGACCUUCGGGCCUCGCACUAUUAGAGCGGCCGAUAUCGGAUUAGCUAGUUGGUGGGGUAACGGCUCACCAAGGCGACGAUCCGUAGCUGGUUUGAGAGGACGACCAGCCACACUGGGACUGGAGACACGGCCCAGACUCCUACGGGAGGCAGCAGUGGGGAAUUUUGACAAUGGGGGGAAACCCUGAUCCAGCCAUCCCGCGUGUGCGAUGAAGGCCUUCGGGUUGUAAAGCACUUUUGGCAGUAGCAAACGGCACGAUACCCCGUGCAACUGACGGUACCUGCAGAAUAAGCACCGGCUAACUACGUGCCAGCAGCCGCGGUAAUACGUAGGGUGCAAGCGUUAAUCGGAAUUACUGGGCGUAAAGUGCGCAGGCGGUUCGGAAAGAAAGAUGUGAAAUCAGAGCUUAACUUUUGGAACUGCAUUUUUAACUACCGAGCUAGAGUGUACAGAGGGAGGUGGAAUUCGCGUAGCAGUGAAUGCGUAGAUAUGCGGAGGAACACCGAUGGCGAAGGCAGCUCUGGGAUAACACCUGACGCUCAUGUACGAAAGCGUGGGGAGCAAACAGGAUUAGAUACCCUGGUAGUCCACGCUCCAAACGAUGUCAACUAGCUGUUGGGGCCUUCGGGCCUUGGUAGCGCAGCUAACGCGUGAAGUUGACCGCCCGGGGAGUACGGUCGCAAGAUUAAAACUCAAAGGAAUUGACGGGGACCCCGCACAAGCGGUGGAUGAUGUGGAUUAAUUCGAUGCAACGCGAAAACCUUACCUACCCUUGACAUGUCUGGAAUCCCGAAGAGAUUUGGGAGUGCUCGCAAGAGAACCGGAACACAGGUGCUGCAUGGCUGUCGUCAGCUCGUGUCGUGAGAUGUUGGGUUAAGUCCCGCAACGAGCGCAACCCUUGUCAUUGCUACGAAAGGGCACUCUAAUGAGACUGCCGGUGACAAACCGGAGGAAGGUGGGGAUGACGUCAAGUCCUCAUGGCCCUUAUGGGUAGGGCUUCACACGUCAUACAAUGGUCGGGACAGAGGGUCGCCAACCCGCGAGGGGGAGCCAAUCCCAGAAACCCGAUCGUAGUCCGGAUCGCAGUCUGCAACUCGACUGCGUGAAGUCGGAAUCGCUAGUAAUCGCGGAUCAGCAUGUCGCGGUGAAUACGUUCCCGGGUCUUGUACACACCGCCCGUCACACCAUGGGAGUGGGUUUUACCAGAAGUAGUUAGCCUAACCGUAAGGAGGGCGAUUACCACGGUAGGAUUCAUGACUGGGGUGAAGUGUAACAAGGUAA